rnacentral:rRNA from 1 species
UUCCCCCAGUAGCGGCGAGCGAACGGGGAGCAGCCCAGAGCCUGAAUCAGUAUGUGUGUUAGUGGAAGCGUCUGGAAAGGCGCGCGAUACAGGGUGACAGCCCCGUACACAAAAAUGCACAUGCUGUGAGCUCGAUGAGUAGGGCGGGACACGUGGUAUCCUGUCUGAAUAUGGGGGGACCAUCCUCCAAGGCUAAAUACUCCUGACUGACCGAUAGUGAACCAGUACCGUGAGGGAAAGGCGAAAAGAACCCCGGCGAGGGGAGUGAAAAAGAACCUGAAACCGUGUACGUACAAGCAGUGGGAGCACGCUUAGGCGUGUGACUGCGUACCUUUUGUAUAAUGGGUCAGCGACUUAUAUUCUGUAGCAAGGUUAACCGAAUAGGGGAGCCGAAGGGAAACCGAGUCUUAACUGGGCGUUAAGUUGCAGGGUAUAGACCCGAAACCCGGUGAUCUAGCCAUGGGCAGGUUGAAGGUUGGGUAACACUAACUGGAGGACCGAACCGACUAAUGUUGAAAAAUUAGCGGAUGACUUGUGGCUGGGGGUGAAAGGCCAAUCAAACCGGGAGAUAGCUGGUUCUCCCCGAAAGCUAUUUAGGUAGCGCCUCGUGAAUUCAUCUCCGGGGGUAGAGCACUGUUUCGGCAAGGGGGUCAUCCCGACUUACCAACCCGAUGCAAACUGCGAAUACCGGAGAAUGUUAUCACGGGAGACACACGGCGGGUGCUAACGUCCGUCGUGAAGAGGGAAACAACCCAGACCGCCAGCUAAGGUCCCAAAGUCAUGGUUAAGUGGGAAACGAUGUGGGAAGGCCCAGACAGCCAGGAUGUUGGCUUAGAAGCAGCCAUCAUUUAAAGAAAGCGUAAUAGCUCACUGGUCGAGUCGGCCUGCGCGGAAGAUGUAACGGGGCUAAACCAUGCACCGAAGCUGCGGCAGCGACGCUGAUGCGUUGUUGGGUA